GAUGUACUCCCUCCGUUCGGAAUUACUUGUCUUGGAAAUGGAUGUAUCUAGAACUAAAAUAUGUCUAGAUACAUCCAUUUCUGCGACAAGUAAUUCCGAACGGAGGGAGUAAUAU
rnacentral:pre_miRNA from 1 species